GCUUAAGUAUUUUAAGUUCUAAAAAUUUUGACUUGUGGUGUCAUAGAUAUCAGUUGUAGAUCUUAAGUC
rnacentral:tRNA from 1 species